GCCUCCCGCGGCGGCUGGCGUCGGGAAAGUACAGUAAAAAGUCCGAGGGCAGCCGCCGGGCGCAGGAUGGGAUCCGGCUCCUCCAGCUACCGGCCCAAGGCCAUCUACCUGGACAUCGAUGGACGCAUUCAGAAGGUAAUCUUCAGCAAGUACUGCAACUCCAGCGACAUCAUGGACCUGUUCUGCAUCGCCACCGGCCUGCCUCGGAACACAACCAUCUCCCUGCUGACCACCGACGACGCCAUGGUCUCCAUCGACCCCACCAUGCCGGCGAAUUCAGAACGGAAUGAGCUCAUUCUCUAUACAUCACUCCGUAACUUGUUGUUUUUACCUAGUAAGAAGUCAUGGGCGUCCCACCAGCACUCCCUACAAAGUGAGACCUGUGGCCAUCAAGCAACUCUCUGGUAAGGCCCUGCUGUCGUUUUUUAAAC
rnacentral:sRNA from 1 species